rnacentral:rRNA from 1 species
GCNGCGGGAAGAAGCCUUCGGGUUGUAAACCGCUUUUGUCAGGGAAGAAAUCCUUUGGGCUAAUACCCUGGGGGGAUGACGGUACCUGAAGAAUAAGCACCGGCUAACUACGUGCCAGCAGCCGCGGUAAUACGUAGGGUGCGAGCGUUAAUCGGAAUUACUGGGCGUAAAGCGUGCGCAGGCGGUCAUACAAGACAGAUGUGAAAUCCUCGGGCUUAACCUGGGAACUGCAUUUGUGACUGUAUGGCUGGAGUACGGUAGAGGGGAGUGGAAUUCCGCGUGUAGCAGUGAAAUGCGUAGAUAUGCGGAGGAACACCGAUGGCGAAGGCAGCUCCCUGGACCUGUACUGACGCUCAUGCACGAAAGCGUGGGGAGCAAACAGGAUUAGAUACCCUGGUAGUCCACGCCCUAAACGAUGUCAACUGGUUGUUGGGAGGGUUUCUUCUCAGUAACGAAGCUAACGCGUGAAGUUGACCGCCUGGGGAGUACGGCCGCAAGGUUGAANA